rnacentral:rRNA from 1 species
CCUAUAAGACUGGGAUAACUUCGGGAAACCGGAGCUAAUACCGGAUAACAUUUAGAACCGCAUGGUUCUAAAGUGAAAGAUGGUUUUGCUAUCACUUAUAGAUGGACCCGCGCCGUAUUAGCUAGUUGGUAAGGUAACGGCUUACCAAGGCGACGAUACGUAGCCGACCUGAGAGGGUGAUCGGCCACACUGGAACUGAGACACGGUCCAGACUCCUACGGGAGGCAGCAGUAGGGAAUCUUCCGCAAUGGGCGAAAGCCUGACGGAGCAACGCCGCGUGAGUGAUGAAGGGUUUCGGCUCGUAAAACUCUGUUAUUAGGGAAGAACAAAUGUGUAAGUAACUGUGCACAUCUUGACGGUACCUAAUCAGAAAGCCACGGCUAACUACGUGCCAGCAGCCGCGGUAAUACGUAGGUGGCAAGCGUUAUCCGGAAUUAUUGGGCGUAAAGCGCGCGUAGGCGGUUCCUUAAGUCUGAUGUGAAAGCCCACGGCUCAACCGUGGAGGGUCAUUGGAAACUGGGAAACUUGAGUGCAGAAGAGGAAAGUGGAAUUCCAUGUGUAGCGGUGAAAUGCGCAGAGAUAUGGAGGAACACCAGUGGCGAAGGCGACUUUCUGGUCUGUAACUGACGCUGAUGUGCGAAAGCGUGGGGAUCAAACAGGAUUAGAUACCCUGGUAGUCCACGCCGUAAACGAUGAGUGCUAAGUGUUAGGGGGUUUCCGCCCCUUAGUGCUGCAGCUAACGCAUUAAGCACUCCGCCUGGGGAGUACGACCGCAAGUUGAAACUCAAA